rnacentral:lncRNA from 1 species
AGGUCUUUCCUCUGAGGGCUAAUGAAUCCUCACGAAGUCCGUGCCGUCUCACAUAAGCAAUGUACAAGGAGCAGUGCCAAGUACAAGGAUAAAUGCAAUGCAUCAUCUUUGUGUACACUAAUGCACUCACCCUAUAGCAUAUUCAUGAUGCAUGAAGCAUGAUAAAAUAUUCAGUUCUCAGAUUAAAACAUUACAUUCAGUUAAAUUCCACUCACCUUUAGUUAUCUCUGAACUGACUCUGCAGGUUCUGACACUGGACUCACUGCUGAUGUCC